rnacentral:sRNA from 12 species
UCCAUACGCUAUAUGGGGCAAAAUAAUUACAUUUUAGCAGAACUCAAACUGCUUAAGUUAUGGGGUAUUCGAAGAAACUAUUAUGUCGCAUAUAUAGUUCCACUUGUUUACAUUUUAAUUCCUAUAUAUUCGGUAACAAUUAAUUAUCCUCAAAACAAUAUUGGACUUACAAUCUAAUUAUUGUUUUGUUGAUAGCAAGUGGAUGCAGAAUAUUGUGGUGAACAAAUUUGAGCGGAGCUGUCAUCAUUGCGACUGUUGACAGCUUUUG